UAGCCACUCCUUGGUGCCUGCAGGAAGUGUUCGUGGGAUGAAUGUUGAGUAACUGACCAUGUGGACACUGUCUUUCCAGGUUUCUUGAAGUCUCUGCGGAGCACCUAGAUGGUCGGGAGGAAAAACAGGAAGCCCAAAGUCACUGAAAGGAAAGAAAAUGCAACUUGGAAAGGAAUGUGGUUGUGAAGCUGGCCAUGGUCCUCAUGGCUAAUACAGGGGAGCUAGAAAGAUGCCUCCUAUAAACAGACGGUAACUUGCAUUUUUUAUCCCAGUGACAAAAUUUAAUCUUUUAGCUGGCGAAUUUCUUCUAUUAUAUUUAUUGUGAUUAUUAACAUAUUUGCAUUUAUUUCUACCAUCUUACUGCAUGCUUUCUAUUUGUCUUAUUUUUUCUAUAUUAUUUAAAAUUUUAUUUUUGGUUGCGUUCAGUCUUCGUUGCUGCACGCAGGCUUUCUCUAGUUGUGGCGAGCGGGGGCUACUCUUAGUUGCGGUGCACGGGCUUCUCAUUGUGGUGGCUUCUCUUGUUGCGGAGCAUGGGCUCUAGGCGUGUGGGCUUCAGUAGUUGCAGCACGCGGGCUCAGUAGUUGCAGCACGUGGGCCCUAGAGUGCGUGGGCUCAGCAGUUGCAAUGCUUGUGCU